rnacentral:rRNA from 1 species
GGGUUGUGAGGUUAAGCGACUAAGCGUACACGGUGGAUGCCCUGGCAGUCAGAGGCGAUGAAGGACGUGCUAAUCUGCGAAAAGCGUCGGUAAGGUGAUAUGAACCGUUAUAACCGGCGAUGUCCGAAUGGGGAAACCCAGUGUGAUUCGUCACACUAUCGUUAACUGAAUACAUAGGUUAACGAGGCGAACCGGGGGAACUGAAACAUCUAAGUACCCCGAGGAAAAGAAAUCAACCGAGAUUCCCCCAGUAGCGGCGAGCGAACGGGGAGCAGCCCAGAGUCUGAAUCAGCUUGUGUGUUAGUGGAACGGUCUGGAAAGUCCGACGGUACAGGGUGAUAGUCCCGUACACCAAAAUGCACAGGCUGUGAACUCGAAGAGUAGGGCGGGACACGUGGUAUCCUGUCUGAAUAUGGGGGGACCAUCCUCCAAGGCUAAAUACUCCUGACUGACCGAUAGUGAACCAGUACCGUGAGGGAAAGGCGAAAAGAACCCCGGCGAGGGGAGUGAAAAAGAACCUGAAACCGUGUACGUACAAGCAGUGGGAGCACCUUCGGGUGUGACUGCGUACCUUUUGUAUAAUGGGUCAGCGACUUAUAUUCUGUAGCAAGGUUAACCGUAUAGGGGAGCCGCAGGGAAACCGAGUCUUAACUGGGCGUUAAGUUGCAGGGUAUAGACCCGAAACCCGGUGAUCUAGCCAUGGGCAGGUUGAAGGUUGGGUAACACUAACUGGAGGACCGAACCGACUAAUGUUGAAAAAUUAGCGGAUGACUUGUGGCUGGGGGUGAAAGGCCAAUCAAACCGGGAGAUAGCUGGUUCUCCCCGAAAGCUAUUUAGGUAGCGCCUCGUGAACUCAUCUUCGGGGGUAGAGCACUGUUUCGGCUAGGGGGUCAUCCCGACUUACCAACCCGAUGCAAACUACGAAUACCGAAGAAUGUUAUCACGGGAGACACACGGCGGGUGCUAACGUCCGUCGUGAAGAGGGAAACAACCCAGACCGCCAGCUAAGGUCCCAAAGUCAUGGUUAAGUGGGAAACGAUGUGGGAAGGCACAGACAGCCAGGAUGUUGGCUUAGAAGCAGCCAUCAUUUAAAGAAAGCGUAAUAGCUCACUGGUCGAGUCGGCCUGCGCGGAAGAUGUAACGGGGCUAAACCAUGCACCGAAGCUGCGGCAGCGACACUAUGUGUUGUUGGGUAGGGGAGCGUUCUGUAAGCCUGCGAAGGUGACCUGUGAGGGUUGCUGGAGGUAUCAGAAGUGCGAAUGCUGACAUAAGUAACGAUAAAGCGGGUGAAAAGCCCGCUCGCCGGAAGACCAAGGGUUCCUGUCCAACGUUAAUCGGGGCAGGGUGAGUCGACCCCUAAGGCGAGGCCGAAAGGCGUAGUCGAUGGGAAACAGGUUAAUAUUCCUGUACUUGGUGUUACUGCGAAGGGGGGACGGAGAAGGCUAUGUUAGCCGGGCGACGGUUGUCCCGGUUUAAGCAUGUAGGCUGGUUGUCCAGGCAAAUCCGGAUAAUCAAGGCUGAGGUGUGAUGACGAGGCACUACGGUGCUGAAGUAACAAAUGCCCUGCUUCCAGGAAAAGCCUCUAAGCAUCAGGUAACAUCAAAUCGUACCCCAAACCGACACAGGUGGUCAGGUAGAGAAUACCAAGGCGCUUGAGAGAACUCGGGUGAAGGAACUAGGCAAAAUGGUGCCGUAACUUCGGGAGAAGGCACGCUGGUGUGUAGGUGAAGUCCCUGCGGAUGGAGCUGAGACCAGUCGAAGAUACCAGCUGGCUGCAACUGUUUAUUAAAAACACAGCACUGUGCAAACACGAAAGUGGACGUAUACGGUGUGACGCCUGCCCGGUGCCGGAAGGUUAAUUGAUGGGGUUAUCCGUAAGGAGAAGCUCUUGAUCGAAGCCCCGGUAAACGGCGGCCGUAACUAUAACGGUCCUAAGGUAGCGAAAUUCCUUGUCGGGUAAGUUCCGACCUGCACGAAUGGCGUAAUGAUGGCCAGGCUGUCUCCACCCGAGACUCAGUGAAAUUGAACUCGCUGUGAAGAUGCAGUGUACCCGCGGCAAGACGGAAAGACCCCGUGAACCUUUACUAUAGCUUGACACUGAACAUUGAGCCUUGAUGUGUAGGAUAGGUGGGAGGCUUUGAAGCGUGGACGCCAGUCUGCGUGGAGCCAACCUUGAAAUACCACCCUUUAAUGUUUGAUGUUCUAACGUUGGCCCCUGACCGGGGUUGCGGACAGUGUCUGGUGGGUAGUUUGACUGGGGCGGUCUCCUCCCAAAGCGUAACGGAGGAGCACGAAGGUUAGCUAAUCCUGGUCGGACAUCAGGAGGUUAGUGCAAUGGCAUAAGCUAGCUUGACUGCGAGCGUGACGGCGCGAGCAGGUGCGAAAGCAGGUCAUAGUGAUCCGGUGGUUCUGAAUGGAAGGGCCAUCGCUCAACGGAUAAAAGGUACUCCGGGGAUAACAGGCUGAUACCGCCCAAGAGUUCAUAUCGACGGCGGUGUUUGGCACCUCGAUGUCGGCUCAUCACAUCCUGGGGCUGAAGUAGGUCCCAAGGGUAUGGCUGUUCGCCAUUUAAAGUGGUACGCGAGCUGGGUUUAGAACGUCGUGAGACAGUUCGGUCCCUAUCUGCCGUGGGCGCUGGAGAAUUGAGGGGGGCUGCUCCUAGUACGAGAGGACCGGAGUGGACGCAUCACUGGUGUUCGGGUUGUCAUGCCAAUGGCACUGCCCGGUAGCUAAAUGCGGAAGAGAUAAGUGCUGAAAGCAUCUAAGCACGAAACUUGCCCCGAGAUGAGUUCUCCCUGAGACUUUAAGUCUCCUGAAGGAACGUUAAAGACGAUGACGUUGAUAGGCCGGGUGUGUAAGCGCAGCGAUGCGUUGAGCUAACCGGUACUAAUGAACCGUGAGGCUUAACCUUACAACGCCGAAG